rnacentral:rRNA from 1 species
CAGUAGCCACGGUAAUACAGAGGGUGCGAGCGUUAAUCGGAUUUACUGGGCGUAAAGCGUGCGUAGGCGGCUUCUUAAGUCGGAUGUGAAAUCCCUGAGCUUAACUUAGGAAUUGCAUUCGAUACUGGGAAGCUAGAGUAUGGGAGAGGAUGGUAGAAUUCCAGGUGUAGCGGUGUAAUGCGUAGAGAUCUGGAGGAAUACCGAUGGCGAAGGCAGCCAUCUGGCCUAAUACUGACGCUGAGGUACGAAAGCAUGGGGAGCAAACAGGAUUAGAUACCCGAGUAGUCCCUGUCUCUUAUAC